rnacentral:rRNA from 1 species
AUUGAACGCUGGCGGCAGGCCUAACACAUGCAAGUCGAACGAGUGGCGGACGGGUGAGUAAUGUCUGGGAAACUGCCUGAUGGAGGGGGAUAACUACUGGAAACGGUAGCUAAUACCGCAUACCAUCGGAUGUGCCCAGAUGGGAUUAGCUAGUAGGUGGGGUAACGUCUCACCUAGGCGACGAUCCCUAGCUGGUCUGCGAGGAUGACCAGCUACACGGGACCUGAGACACGGUCCAGACUUCUACGGGAGGCAGCAGUGGGUAAUAUUGCACAAUGGGCGCAAUCCUGAUGCAGCCAUGCCGCGUGGAUGAAGAAGGCCGUCGGGUUGUAAAGUUCUUUCAGCGGGGAGGCGUUACCCGCAGAAGAAGCACCGGCUAACUCCGUGCCAGCCGCCGCGGUAAUUC